AAGCUCGUAGUUGAAUUUCGGGGUUCUACCGUUGGUCGGGCUUUGUCUGUACUGGCGUGUAGAAUUUCUACCUUCUGGGGAACCAUUAUGUUAUUAAUUUAACGUGGUGGGAAACCAGGACCUUUACCUUGAAAAAAUUAGAGUGUUCAAAGCAGGCUUAUGUCUGAAUACAUUAGCAUGGAAUAAUAGAAUAGGACGGUGGUCCUGUUUUGUUGGUUUCUGAAUCACCGUAAUGAUUAAUAGGGAUAGUUGGG
rnacentral:rRNA from 1 species